GUGACUGAGUCAAGAUGGCGUCGGGGCAACAGUGGGUGUUGGUGGAGAUGGUGCAAGCGUUUUAUGAGGCACCAGCAUAUCAUUUGAUUUUAGAAGGUAUUCUUAUAUUAUGGAUUAUCAGACUGCUGUUCUCAAAAACCUAUAAACUACAGGAGAGGUCAGACCUCACAGAAAAGGAGAAAGAGGAGUUAAUUGAGGAGUGGCAACCCGAGCUGCUAGUUCCACCAGUAUCUAAAGACCACCCGUCCCUUAAUUAUGAUGUAGUUACAGGGCCGCCAAGCCACAAAAUCAUCGUAAAUGGGAAAGAGUGCAUUAACUUUGCCUCAUUUAACUUCUUGGGUCUACUCAACAGUGAGCGUGUAAAGUUGAAGGCUUUGGCGUCACUAAAAAAAUAUGGUGUGGGAACUUGUGGACCAAGAGGAUUCUACGGGACCUUUGAUGUUCAUCUGGAGUUAGAAGAACGUUUAGCAACGUUCAUGAGAACAGAGGAGGCUAUUCUCUAUUCGUAUGGCUUUGCCACCAUGGCCAGUGCUAUUCCUGCAUACUCCAAGAGAGGAGACAUCAUCUUUGUUGAUGAGGCGGCUUGUUUCUCCAUUCAGAAAGGCCUGCAGGCUUCACGCAGCUUCAUCAAAUACUUCAAACACAAUGAUAUGGAGGAUCUAGAGCGCCUUCUGAAGGAGCAAGAGAUUGAGGAUCAUAAGAACCUACGUAAAGCCAGAGUAAUCAGACGAUUCAUCAUUGUUGAGGGCCUCUAUAUUAACACUGCAGAUAUCUGUCCACUCCCUGAACUGGUAUAGGACCAGGGGAGAUGGCCAUCACAAACUUUGUUACACUGGUGCUGAAACCUGGGAGGGAGGAGGGAUGCACUGUCGGAGAGCCCUCGCCGCUGUUCUAGGGUCGCAACGCCGAGGAGAUAUGGUUCGGUGGUAUUGGAGUGGUUUGCCAGGAGACGGGGGAGCCCGCUCCCCUCCGCCAGGAGACGGGGGAGCCCGCUGCCCUCCGCCAGGAGACGGGGGAGCCCGCUGCCCUCCGCCAGGAGACGGGGGAGCCCGCUGCCCUCCGCCAGGAGACGGGGGAGCCCGCUGCCCUCCGCCAGGAGACGGGGGAGCUCACUAGAGCUCACUGACAUCUGCCGGGAGGCGGAGGAGCCUGCUGACGUCCACUAGAAGGCGAGGUCCAGUGCCAUCGCCCGGCAUUGCGGAGGACCGCUGGCCAAGGACCAGGCGACAGCGUGUCCGGGGACCGGCGAGACACUUUCUCUCUCUCUCUCAUUCUGUCUCUCCCACUUCCUCUUUCUCUCUUCCCUCUCCCCCCCCCUCGUCUCUCUCAGUUUCCCAGGAGGCAGGGAAGGCCGGCCAAAAGGGCAACACCUCCCCUCCAGGAAGGGAGGGGGAGUAAGUCUGGCAGAGGUCUCCCUGGCCUGAAUCUGGUGGUGGUGGAGUGUGACGAGGAGGGGGGCGUGGCCGGGCCGUGAUGACGCACGCCUGGCACUGAGUUGACUAAUUAGCUGGAGAGAGAUAAGGGGGAGAGAGAGAGAGAUGCACGGAGCUGUGUGUGUGUCUUUGUUUGUUUUGCAGGUUGUUAUGUUUGAGUUCAGUUUGUUAUUAAAGUUUUACGUUGACUGUUCAGCCGGUUCCUGCCGCCGCCUUGCCCAUCUUAAGAACCAUGUAAUACUCAUUUAAAUGAACACCAUAUUUAUUUAUUUAUUUUUAUCAUUUAUUAUUAUUAUUUAAGUGUCAUUUAUUUCUCAUUCAAUAAAUUACAUAUGUACUAUAGGAACACUUCUGGUUCAUGUUACAUCUGGCAAAACCUCCAAACUUCUAAGUGACACCUAUUUUUUUUUAAAUAAAAAGCAUUUAAUGAAUUAACUAGCAGUUCAAGGUUAAAAUAUUAUAAAUUAAAAUGUAAAAAUAAUGAUCAGUUAUCGUUAUUGACCCAGAAAUUUCAUGAAUUGCGUUCUAACUAGGGAAACUUGCAUGCCAGCGUGGUCCAGUGAAAGAUGGGACUGAGACGAUGAAUCCCUGCACUUGAAAAAGCCAGCUCGGCUGAAACAGACAUGCAGAAAUAGAGACUUGCAAGCCGGUAGAGGCUGGGUGAAGUUGAAGUAUAAAUAUA